rnacentral:tRNA from 1 species
GGUAUGGCUCAGUAGUAGAGCAUCUGCUUGGUAGGCAGGGGGGUCCCAGGUUCAAUCUCUGACAUCUCCA